GCAAGCUCCAAAAUAAAGUCAAAAUCCCGAAGCCCGGGAUUUUAACUUGUUAAUAUCGCUAGAUGCACACUCGGGCUCAGUGCAAGGGAAUUUAAUUUAUUUAUUUACUAUACUGUGACGAAUUCGAAAUCGCUCGUGUUUAGACAAGUGCAUUUUCUCAGUUUUUAAGACGUGGUAAUAAACGAAUUGUGUUUUGUUGUGUAUAUGUUGUUUUAAUAUUGUGCAUGAGACUGAAACGACGAGGAGAAGCCGGUUCCAGUGCAAUUCUAUCAUAAAAAGGAUUACCAAACAAAUUCCACUUCUAGCGCAACUGCUGACGUCACUAGUCGACGCCGCAGAGACGCCCAAAAGCACAAAAUGUCUGCUGCCAAAACGAAAAAAUGUGACGCAAUAACAGCAUCCGCAACAGCAGCAACCACUAACGGUGACGCCACACCUCCAUCUUCACCGCCGUUCUAUGUCAUACCAGACGACGUCACCAUGUCUCUAGA